ensembl:miRNA Gm23190 predicted gene, 23190
UGUAUAUAUGUGUGCAUGUAUGUAUGUAUGUGUGUGUGUGCACAUGUGUGAGGGAG